UGAAAGUACAUCUGUAGCCUAUGACUUGAGUCUCUUGAACUUCUAGGAAGAGGCAAACUACAAACUACCAGGAUUCUGAUUUCAGAUAUAGGCAUUCCAGAACCUUCUCUUUAUGAGUUCACCUGCUAGUACAAUCUCCACAACUUGAAUGGCAUUGGUUGUUCUAUAAUUGCUGCCAAAAUCAUCACAAGCUGUACAUCAUCAAGGCUCUCUUUGCACUCCCAAGAAGAACUGUUCAUUUUAAACAAAAGUGAUGAGAAUUCCUCCGGAGGUGGGAACAGAGAAAACUUUAUGCUUGGUAAAGCACCUGAGGCACCCAUUACAAUCUGGGACAAAAUGAGAACAUCAAUACUCACGCUGUAUUCCACAUGGGAGGCCAAGUCAACGCAAGAUGAUUUUUAAGAGAUAUAAGAGCCAGGCGCGGUAGCUGACACCUGUAAUCCCAGCACUUUGGGAGGCUGAGGUGGGAGGCUCACUUGAGGCCAGGAGAUCAAGACCAGCCUAACCAACAAAGCAAGACCAAGACCCCUUUUCUACAAAAAAAUAAGAAAAUUAGCCUGGCGUGGCGGUGCACACCUGUGGUUCCAGCUACGCUAGAAGCUGAAGGGGGAGGUUCACUUGAGCCCCGAGUUUGAGGCUGCAGUGAGCCACAUUAGCGCCACCGCACUACAGCCUGGGUGACAGAGCAAGAGCCUGUCUCCAAAAAAAUAAAAUAAAAGCUAUAAAUACUGCAAA